AUUGAACGCUGGCGGCAGGCCUAACACAUGCAAGUCGAGCGGAUGAAGGGAGCUUGCUCCUGGAUUCAGCGGCGGACGGGUGAGUAAUGCCUAGGAAUCUGCCUGGGAGUGGGGGAUAACGUCCGGAAACGGGCGCUAAUACCGCAUACGUCCUGAGGGAGAAAGUGGGGGAUCUUCGGACCUCACGCUAUCAGAUGAGCCUAGGUCGGAUUAGCUAGUUGGUGGGGUAAAGGCCUACCAAGGCGACGAUCCGUAACUGGUCUGAGAGGAUGAUCAGUCACACUGGAACUGAGACACGGUCCAGACUCCUACGGGAGGCAGCAGUGGGGAAUAUUGGACAAUGGGCGCAAGCCUGAUCCAGCCAUGCCACGUGUGUGAAGAAGGUCUUCGGAUUGUAAAGCACUUUAAGUUGGGAGGAAGGGCAGUAAGUUAAUACCUUGCUGUUUUGACGUUACCAACAGAAUAAGCACCGGCUAACUUCGUG
rnacentral:rRNA from 1 species